rnacentral:rRNA from 1 species
AGUGAACGCUGGCGGCGUGCUUAACACAUGCAAGUCGAACGAGAACGGGUUAUAGCUUGCUAUAAUUGUCAGCUAAGUGGCGCACGGGUGAGUAAUGUAUAAGUAAUAUGCCUCUUACUAAGGGAUAACAAAUGGAAACGCUUGCUAAUACCUUAUACUCCUUAUUAACAUAAGUUAAUAAGGGAAAGAUUUAUUGGUAAGAGAUUAGCCUGUAUUGUAUCAGUUAGUUGGUGGGGUAAUGGCUUACCAAGACUAUGACACAUAACUGGUUUGAGAGGAUGAUCAGUCACACUGGAACUGAGACACGGUCCAGACUCCUACGGGAGGCAGCAGUGGGGAAUAUUGCACAAUGGACGAAAGUCUGAUGCAGCAGCGCCGCGUGGAGGAUGACACAUUUCGGUGCGUAAACUCCUUUUAUAUGAGAAGAUAAUGACGGUAUUAUAUGAAUAAGCACCGGCUAACUCCGUGCCAGCCGCCGCCGUAA